rnacentral:rRNA from 1 species
UGCAGCCAAUGGCCGGGCUAGCUCGGCCAAGCAUUUAUUAGUUUUAACCAAUUACUGUGCAAACGGUAAGGUGAAUCUAGAUAACUUUGCUGAUCGCAUGGCUUUGCCAGCGACGUUUCAAUUGAGUUUCUGCCCUAUCAAUUUGUUGGUAAGGUAUUGGCUUACCAAGGUUGUAACGGGUAACGGGGAAUCAGGGUUCGAUUCCGGAGAGGGAGCUUGAGAAUCGGCUACCACAUCCAAGGAAGGCAGCAGGCGCGCAAAUUACCAAAUCUAGACAGUAGGAGGUGGUGAAGAGAAGUACUAAGUGGUGGUUUUUUACUACCAGCUUGGAAUGGACGUAAUUUAAGCAAUUCGAUGAGUAACUACUGGAGGGCAAGUCCUGGUGCCAGCAGCCGCGGUAAUUCCAGCUCCAGUGGCGUGAUUUAAAGUUGCUGCGUUUAAAACGCUCGUAGUUGGAUCAAGCGGUAGCAGUUUGUAGUUCAUGGCUUGCAUUUGGCUGAUUCAGUCGAUGCGAGUCGUGUAUAGUGAGCAGCAAACUGCUACUAUUUAAUCGCAAGUAUGUUGAUUGACCUUUACUGAGUUGAUCAUUAUAUUUUGCGGAGUUGUGCCUUGAAUAAAACAGAGUGCUCAAAGCAGGCGAACGCUUGAAUGUUGUAGCAUGGAACGAACAAACGUGUAUACGCACAUGUCGUGCGAAGUGAGUGCGCUUCUGGUGCAUUUGCUUUGUUGAUGUGUGCAUCACCCGCCAAAAUGCGAUUGUUGGUUAUCGUAUUAGGUGAUGAUUAAAAGGAGCGGUUGGGGGCAUUGGUAUUUGGACGCGAGAGGUGAAAUUCAAAGACCGUCCAAGGACUAACAAAUGCGAAGGCAUCUGUCCAGACCGUAUCCAUUAAUCAAGAACGAAAGUGGGAGGUUCGAAGACGAUUAGAUACCGUCGUAGUUCCCACCGUAAACUAUGCCGACUAGGGAUCAGUUUGGUGAUAUUACAAGCAUCAAAUUGGUCUCCAAGGGAAACCAUAAGUUUUUCGGUUACGGGGAGAGUAUGGUCGCAAGGCUGAAAUUUAAAGGAAUUGACGGAAGGGCACCACCAGGGGUGGAACCUGCGGCUUAAUUUGACUCAACACGGGGAAACUUACAUGGUCCAGACAUCGAUAGGAUAAACAGACUGAUAGAUCUUUUUUGAUGCGGUGAGUGGUGGUGCAUGGCCGUUCCUAGUUCGUGGAGUGAUCUGUCAGGUUUAUUCCGGUAACGAACGAGACUACAACCUUCAUUUAAGAGGCAAAAGCAGGUU